AAUAGAGUUUUAUUCAGGCAAAAAAUUUCUUGUCUUCAACUGAAAUUAUAUCAUUCAAUUUUCAAAGAAUCCAAAGUAGGGUCUGAUUUUUUCUGGUAGAAAUCAUGUCUAUGCAAGCAAAUAUUUUUAUGACCAAAACAUUAAAACCAUCGGAUACUCUGUGUUAAACAAGCAACUUCUUUUGUGUUUUGCAAUGUUAUUUACAAUACAAAACUAUUGUACAUGCUUAUACUUGAUAUGAUAAAGGCAAACCUAGUUCAGUCUAUCACAAAUCAAACACCUAAAAACCAACCAAAAUAAGAAAUUCACAACAGUAUCAUAUUGUACCAAAAUCAGCAGCAGCACAAUGAAAGCAGCCACAAUCCAAGGCAAAGACAGACAAAGAAAUGAAAAGUUCAAGAUUCA
rnacentral:lncRNA from 1 species